GAUGAACGCUGGCGGCGUGCCUAAUACAUGCAAGUAGAACGCUGAAGGAGGAGCUUGCUCUUCUGGAUGAGUUGCGAACGGGUGAGUAACGCGUAGGUAACCUGCCUGGUAGCGGGGGAUAACUAUUGGAAACGAUAGCUAAUACCGCAUGACAACAGUUAUUGCAUGAUAACUGUUUAAAAGGGGCAACUGCUCCACUACCAGAUGGACCUGCGUUGUAUUAGCUAGUUGGUGAGGUAACGGCUCACCAAGGCGACGAUACAUAGCCGACCUGAGAGGGUGAUCGGCCACACUGGGACUGAGACACGGCCCGGACUCCUACGGGAGGCAGCAGUAGGGAAUCUUCGGCAAUGGACGGAAGUCUGACCGAGCAACGCCGCGUGAGUGAAGAAGGUUUUCGGAUCGUAAAGCUCGGUUGUAAGAGAAGAACGAGUGUGAGAGUGGAAAGUUCACACUGUGACGGUAUCUUACCAGAAAGGGACGGCUAACUACGUG
rnacentral:rRNA from 1 species